AUUGAACGCUGGCGGCAGGCUUAACACGUGCAAGUCGAGCGGAGAUGAGGUGCUUGCACCUUAUCUUAGCGGCGGACGGGUGAGUAAUGCUUAGGAAUCUGCCUAUUAGUGGGGGACAACAUUCCGAAAGGAAUGAUAAUACCGCAUACGUCCUACGGGAGAAAGCAGGGGAUAUUCGGACCUUGCGCUAAUAGAUGAGCCUAAGUCGGAUUAGCUAGUUGGUGGGGUAAAGGCAUACCAAGGCGACGAUCUGUAGCGGGUCUGAGAGGAUGAUCCGCCACACUGGGACUGAGACACGGCCCAGACUCCCACGGGAGGCAGCAGUGGGGAAUAUUGGACAAUGGGGGGAACCCUGAUCCAGCCAUGCCGCGUGUGUGAAGAAGGCCUUAUGGUUGUAAAGCACUUUAAGCGAGGAGGAGGCUACUGAGACUAAUACUCUUGGAUAGUGGACGUUACUCGCAGAAUAAGCACCGGCUAACUCUGUGCCAGCCGCCGCGGUAAAAC
rnacentral:rRNA from 1 species